UGGGGUAUAGCUCAGGGGUAGAGCAUUUGACUGCAGAUCAAGAGGUCCCUGGUUCAAAUCCAGGUGCCCCCU
rnacentral:tRNA from 2 species